UCUCUGUUCGUAUAUCGGUUAGUACACGCGCCUGUCAGCGGAUCUGGUCGCGCGAAAGCUGGGUUCGAUUCCCAGACAGAGAG